UAGAGAAGAACUGAGGGGGUGUGGGC
rnacentral:piRNA from 1 species